GUUCCGGGCCUCGUCACACACCGCCCCGGUACACCACCGGGGAACGUUGGAGAGCCCCUGAAGCCGAGUAUCUAACCUUUGGAAGAAGUCGUCGAAGGGUGGAAUCAAUAAACUAGGGGUGGAAGUCGUAACAAGGGUUAGCCGUAUCGAACGGUGCAGGCGUGGAUCACCUCCUUUCUAGGAGA
rnacentral:rRNA from 1 species